rnacentral:lncRNA from 1 species
CGAGACUCAGGAGUCGUUAAUGCAAACACUAUAAAUACCUCCCCUGGUCCAUGAAGGAAGGGGGUUGACAAUUGUAAAGAGUGAACACUUAAGAGAGUUGAAGGUGUGAACUUGCGUCGAUGAGCCCACACACUAACCGAACAAAAUGAUAAAAUGACAAAAUUUAAAUAAUAUGAACGAAGAAAAUUAAUUUAUAGACUAUAGAGAACAAUAUGGUUUCUUAUAGUGAAAAAAUAAUUUAAUAAAGGAUGGUCACUGCCUUACUUUGUAUCUACCUCUUACCUCUUCCUGACUGACUUAUGAACAUAGCCUUAUACAAGACAGAAUGCUGGCCGAAAUUAUUAAGGAUGGCCGAAGGGAUGGAAUUCCACAAUUUCGGCUGAUAAAGCAAAAUUCCAGAUGUCUUCUGAAUUAUUAUGUAUAGACUACAUUAUACAGUCCACGGGAAUCAAGAUUCAUCUGCCUCAUGUUUAAUCGAUAUAGUGUUCUGCAGCUCUGCGUUUUGAUAACAAAAUAUCAUUUAACUGUGAUGCGGAAAAUACAGCAAUGCCAUUUUUCAAUUAUUGGACCAAGUCACUAUUGGAGACAUGUUCAAGAUCAGUUAGGAGUUAGUUAAUAAUAAUAACUAAAGAUUAACUGUUUACUGUUAGCUAUUAAACAACUCUAUAAAUACAAUGAAGUAAUUGUAACAACCGAUCAGUUAGGUGUUUUUUCAAUUAUUUUUUUCAAUAAGCAUUUGAUAUUGCAUUAUUAUUAUUUAAUAUUUAUUCGAUCAAUUACUUAUAUGUUAGAUAGCAAAAUCAAUUAAUCCAACGUAAGGUUCAAAUGCUGGAAUGAAUGUGUCCUGUCUUUCCGGAAAAACCCCACUAAUGAAGGAUUGCCAGGGGAAAUCACAAUGAUUCUCAAAGAAGCAAUUGCCAGAAAUUAUAGCAGUCUGCUUGAUUGCCACCAUUAGAAAUAGCAAACCAAUAGAGAGUUGAAACUUAGAAGAAUAGAAAACUAAUCGAUUUAAAUCUAUUUCGGUGAAUCAGGAAGGUUAUGAGCUGGAUCCGCCUAAGUUCCCCAAACCACACAAACUAUUAUGUGAAAUCCUCAGAUUUCUGCAUACCAGAAUAUGAACACAUGACAAUAAAAAAGGUCAUUUUGUUUGUCAAGAUAGAAAGACUUGGUAUGUAUAUCUGAUAUACAGAUGUAAAAACCAAGCCAAACAGUGAAGUUCAAUCUUGAAUCAUGCAAAUCAUUGAUCCAUAGUGCUCAUACAAUCAUACUAAUGAUGGCCAACUUCAUUUUCUUGAAAGAACUUAGUAUAUCAAUUCACUUAAUUUAUAUAAAAAAAAUACUAGUUGAAAAUUUAAAAUAGCAUUUUAUUUCUUAAUUUGUGAAUUUGUGUGUGAAAAAAGGUUCAAUGUUUGUAAUAAAUUGAAUCAGAUAUGAGGAAUUAAGAAUGACGAGACAUCCUUUUGAUUCAGGGUUCAACCAUCAGGUUCAGUUUAUAAUUUAUGGGAUGUUGAUUUUAAAUUUUUAAUAUAUAAAAUAUGUCUAACAAUCUAAUAUAGACAUACUGGCAUGGCAUCCCAUCAAGUAUCCGAUAUGAAUUUGACAAAACUAGUCAUUAACUCAUACUUGGCCAUUGGCAUUGAGAAAAUCUCACAAAAUGGAUGCCUUCAGAAUACAAUAAUUCAAUUGCUUGAGGAACUCUUUGGUUUAGUAAAAUAUAAAUAAAUAAAUAAAUAAAUAAAUAAAUAACAGAUUACAUCUAACAUUGCAUUUGAAAUUUUGAAUGGCAUUUGACAAUUUAAAUAUGUAAAGCAAAUACAUCUAACUCAAAAAAUCAUAAAAUGUGUACAAUUUACCUCUAUUUGUGAUUUUUUAAGUUGAACCCUCAAUUCCUUAUUUCUAGCAGAAUAUAAUUCAUCUAAUACCAAAGAAGAUGUGGAGUUAGUAGUUAAUUUUUCAGGAAGAAAACCGCAGGGAGUAACAGAUGGUUGGGACAUGGGACAGGCCAGAAUAUUUCUUCUUUGUUUGGAAAUUACCAAACCCCCUCUGACGGUCUGACCUCUGUGCUACAAAAUGUAAAAAUAAAUAAACUUCAGUGAAGGAUUGAAGGAUGAACCUGGUCAAGAAGAAUGAAACAGCCUAGCUGUCUGCGAGAUGGAAGCAAUGAAGAAGUAAUUCUUGUCGUCAAGAAGGGGGAAAUUCAUCGCUAGGAUUAUAAGAGAUUCAAUUUGGGGGAAAUAUUUGAUUUGUUGGAAAUAUAAAUUAUUUAUAAC